GCGGCAGGCCUGAGGCAUGCAAGUCGAACGAGAAAGUGUAGCAAUACAUGAGUAGAGUGGCGCACGGGUGAGUAACACGUGGGAACAUACCUUAAAGUGGGGGAUAACAGUUGGAAACGACUGCUAAUACCGCAUAAACCCUUCGGGGGAAAGAUUUAUCGCUUUAAGAUUGGCCCGCGUUGGAUUAGCUUGUUGGUGAGGUAAUGGCUCACCAAGGCAGUGAUCCAUAGCUGGUCUGAGAGGAUGACCAGCCACACUGGGACUGAGACACGGCCCAGACUCCUACGGGAGGCAGCAGCUAGGAAUAUUGGACAAUGGGCGAAAGCCUGAUCCAGCCAUGCCGCGUGAGUGAAGAAGGCCUUCGGGUUGUAAAGCUCUUUUAGUUAUGAAGAUGAUGACUGUAGUAACAGAAAAAGCACCGGCUAACUUCGUGCCAGCAGCCGCCGUAA
rnacentral:rRNA from 1 species